GCUCCGGUGGCCUAGUGGUUAGAGCGUCCGCCAAGGAUGCGGGAGGUCGUGGGUUCGGUUCCCGGUCGAGUCA